CAAUUUUAGAGCUUCAUCAUAAAAAAUUAAGGAAAUAAAAGGUAAAUAGAGCGAGAGAGAGACCUUGAGGCUAGUAGGAGUGGCAGUAUAAGCAGAACGAAGGGAUUGGAAGAGAGCUUGAGCGUCUCUGCUGGUCGUUCUCGCCAUUAUCAACACUAACUAGCGCAAAGCUUCCAACCUGUUCU